AUAUGGCCUUUAUUAUGUUGAAGUAGGUCCCCUCAAUGCCCACUUUCUGGAGAGUUUUUAUCAUAAAUGGGUGUUGAAUUUUGUCAAAAACUUUUUCUGCAUCUAUUGAGAUGAUCAUAUGGUUUUUAUUCUUCAGUUUGUUAAUAUGGUGUAUCACAUUGAUUGAUUUGUGUAUAUUGAAGAAUCCUUGCAUCCCUGAGAUAAAUUCCACGUGAUCAUGGUGUAUGAUCCUUUUAAUGUGUUGUUAGAUUCUGUUUGCUAGUAUUUUGUUGAAGAUUUUUGCAUCUAUAUUCAUCAGUGAGUUUGGUCUGUAAUUUUCUUUUUUUGUUGUAUCUUUGUGUGGUUUUGGUAUCAGGGUGAUGGUGGCCUCGUAGAAUGAGUUUGGGAGUGUUCCUUCCUCUGCAAUUUUUUGGAAGAGUUUUAGAAGGAUGGGUGUUAUCUCUUUUCUAAAUGUUUGAUAGAAUUCACCUGUGAAGCCAUCUGGUCCUGGACUUUUGUUUGUUAGAAGAUUUUUUUUUUUUUGCGGUACACGGGUCUCUCACUGUUGUGGUCUCUCCUGUUGCAGAGCACAGGUUCCGGACAUGCAGGCUCAGCGGCCGUGGCUCACGGGCCCAGCCACUCCGCGGCAUGUGGGAUCUUCCUGGACCAGGGCACGAACCCGCGUCCCCUGUAUCAGCCGGUGGACUCUCAACAACUGCACCACCAGGGAAGCCCUGUUGGAAGAUUUUUAAUCAGUUUCAGUUUCAGUACUUAUGAUUGGUCCAUUCAUAUUUUCUAUUUCUUCCUGGUUCAGUCUUGAAAAGUUAUACCUUUCUAAGAAUUUGUCCAUUUCUUCCAGGUUGUCCAUUUUAUUGACAUAGAGUUACUUGUAGUAGUCUCUUAUGAUGCUUUGAAUUUCUGUGGGGUCUGUUGUAACUUCCCCCUUUUCAUUUCUAAUUUUAUUGAUUUGAAUCCUCUCCCUCUUUUUCUUGAUGAAUCUGGCUAAAGGUUUAUCAGUUUUGUUUAUUUUUCAGAGAACCAGCUUUAGUUUUAUUGAUCUUUGUUAUUGUUUUCUUUGUUUCUAUUUCAUUUAUUUCUGCUCUGAUCUUUAUGAUUCCUUUCCUUCUAUUAAUUUGGGUUUUGUUUGUUCUUCUUUCUCUAGCUCCUUUAGGUGUAACAUUAUAUUGUUUAUUUGAGAUUUUUCUUGUUUCUUGAGGUAGGAUUUUAUUGUUAUAAACUUCCAUCUUAGAACUGCUUUUGCUGCAUCCCAUAGGUAUUAGAUCAUUGUGUUUUCAUUGUCAUUUGUCUCUAGGUAUUUUCUGAUUUCCUCUUUGAUUUCUUCUGUGAUCUCUUGGUUAUUUAGUAAUGUAUUGUUUAGUCUCUAUGUGUUUGUGUUUUUUACAGUUUUUUCCCCUGUAAUUGGUUUGUAAUCUCAUAGCACUGUGUUCGGAAAAGAUGCUUGAUAUGAUUUCAGUUUUCUUAAAUUUACCAAGGUUUGACUUGUGACACAAGAUGUGAUGUAUCCUGGAGAAUAUUCCAUGUGCACAUGAGAAGAAAGUGUAAUCUUCUGUUUUUGGAUGGAUUGUCCUAUAAAUAUCAAUUAAGUCCAUCUUGUUUAAUGUGUCAUUUAAAGCUUUUGUUUCCUUAUUAAUUUUCUGUCUGGAUGAUCUUUCCAUUGGUGUAAGUGAGGUGUUAAAGUUCCUCACUAUUAUUGUGUUACUGUCAAUUUCCUCUUUUAUAGCUGUUAGUAUUUGCCUUAUGUAUUUAGGUGCUCCUAUGUCGGGUGCAUAUAUAUAUUUAUAAUUGUUAUAUCUUCUUCUUGGAUUGGUCCCUUGACCAUUAUGUAGUGUCCUUCCUUGUCUCUUGUAACAUUCUUUAUUUUAAAGUCUAUUUUAUCUGAUAUGAGUAUUGCCACUCCAGCUUUCCUUUGAUUUCCAUUUGCAUGGAAUAUCUUUUUCCAUCCCCGCACUUUCAGUCUGUAUGUGUCCCUAGGUCUGAAGUGGGUGUCUUGUAGACAGCAUAUAGAUGGGUCUAGUUUUUGUAUCCAUUCAGCAAGCCUGUGUCUUUUGGUUGGAGCAUUUAAUCCAUUCACAUUUAAGGUAAUUAUCACUAUGUGUGUUCCUAUUACUAUUUUCUUAAUUGUUUUGAGUUUGUUUUUGUAGGUCGUUUUCUUCUCUUUUGUUUCCCACUUAGAGAAGUUCCUUUAGCAUUUGUUGUAGACCUGGUUUGUUGGUGCUGAAUUCCCUUAGCUUUUGCUUGUGUGUAAAGCUUCUGAUUUUCUGUAAAGCUUUUGAUUUCUCUGUUGAAUCUGAAUGAGAUCCUUGCCAGGUGGAGUAAUCUUGGUUGUCAGUUCUUUGCUUUCAUCACUUUAAAUAUAUCAUGCCACUCCCUUCUGGCUUUUAGAGUUUCUGCUGUGAAAUCAGCUGUUAACCUUAUGAGAGUUCCCUUGUAUGUUAUUUGUCACGUUUCCCUUCUUGCUUUUAAUAACUUUUCUUUGUCUUUAAUUUUUGUCAGUUUGAUUACUGUGUGUUUCUCCUUGGGUUUAUCCUGCCUGGGACUCUCUGUGCUUCCUGGACUUGGGUAGCUAUUUCCUUUCCCAUGUUAAGGAAUUUUUCAACUAUAAUUUCUUCAAAUAUUUUCUUGGGUCCUUUCUCUCUUUCUUCUCCUUUUGGGACCCCUAUAAUGUGAAUUUUGGUGCAUUUAAUGUUGUUCCAGAGGUCUCUUAGGCUGUCUUCAUUUCUUUUCAUUUUAUUUCCUUAUUCUGUUCCUCAGCUGUGAUUUUCACCAUUCUGUCUUCCAGGUCACCUAUCUGUUCUUCUGCCUUAGUUAUUCUGUUAUUGAUUCCUUCUAGUGUAUUUUUCAUUUUAGUUAUUGUAUUAUGCAUCUCUGUUUGUUUGUUCUUUAAUUCUUCUAAAUCUUUGUUAAACAUUUCUCACACCUUCUCAAUCUUUUCCUCCAUUCUUCUUCUGAGGUCCUGGAUCAUCUUCACUAUCAUUAUUCUCAAUUCUUUUUCUGGGAGGUUGCCUAUCUCCACUUCAUUUACUUGUUUUUCUGGGGUUUUACCUUUUUCCUUCAUCUGGUACAUAGUCCUCUGCCUUUUCAUUUUGUCUAUCUUUCUGUGAAUGUGGUUUUCAUUCCACAGGCUGCAGGAUUGUAAAUCUUCUUGCUUCUGCUGUCUUCUCUCUGGUGGAUGAGGUUAUCUAAGAGGCUUGUGCCAACUUCCUUAUGGGAGGAACUGGUGAUGAGUAAAGCUGGGUGUUGUUCUGGUGGGCAGAGCUCAGUAAAAUUUUAAUCUGCUUGUAUCCUGAUGGAUGGGUCUGAGUUCCCUCCCUGUUGCUUGUUUGGCCUGAAGAGACCCAGUACUGGAGGCUACAGGCUCUUUGGUGGGGCUAAUGGCAGACUCCAGGAGGGCUCAUGCCAAGGAGUAUUUACCAGAGCUUCUGCUGUCAGUGUCCUUGUCCUCACGGUGAGCCACAGCCGUCUCCUACCUCUGUAGGAGACCUUCCAACACUAGCAGUGAAAGGAUGCAAAGCACAAUCAGCAAAGAGAAAAGGCAUCUGGAGCAAAGUAUGGAGGAAACCAGGUACAAACUUCCAAAGUCCUCUCCCAGGGGGGCCACCCAGGAUGCACAUAAUUCUGGCAGCAACUAGCUGCAACAAUACAAGUGAAGUGUUGUCAACCAGGGAAGCUCAUUAGAGACUCAUUGCUCAGGGUUUUUAUUGGGGGCUGAUCAUGUAGGCACCCUCUGUCUAGCAUCUACCAAAAUUCCAGACUCCCAGAAAGAAAUCAGGUGCUCAUAAUAAACCAUUGUUUGUAUAAGCAGUUAGGCAUAAUGGGCCACUCUUAUCAGUUUGGGGAAUAGUGGGAACACUCCCCAAAUUCAAGUUUCAGAUGCCAGCUAAGGGCCGACUGCGUAAGCAUGCAAUUCAAAGGGUAACAGUCAGGCCUGUUAUGUCAGCUGUUUCCUACACCUCCUUUCUGUUUCCUUUAUCUGUAAAAUGGUAAUGAGGACCUAUUUUAUAUGGUUGUUAUAAAGAUUAAAUGAGAUAAUCUAUGUAAAACAUGUAGAACUCUGACUGACUCAGAAUGAUCCCUUAAUAAAUGUUAGCUAAAGUUGAUACAAUUUGUGUUGAAGAAGACACCCAGACACCAGAACCAGAUGUUAGCAGUUGAGAGUGGAUCAUGGUUAAUCCUUUUCUCUUCCCGGUGUUCACUACAUUGUCCAGCACACAGAAGGUGCUCUUUAAGUAUUUGAUGAGGAUGGUAGUGAUUUCUACCCUCUGUCAUCUGAAAGAAAUGCACAACCUAAAAGUUGAUAGCUAUGUUUUAUUCAGCAGACAAAACUGAGGACUUAAGCCUGGGACACAGCAUCUCAGAUAGCUCUGAGAGACUGCUCUGAAGAGACAAGGGAGGGGAGCCAGGAUAUAUAGGAGUUUUUGCAACAAAGACCAGGUAGUCAGAACAUCAAAAGAUUACUGUUAAAGAAAACCAGACAUCUCAAGUUAAGGGAUUUAGUGCUUUUCUAUGUAUGGGAAGAUGCAAGAGUCUGGGCUCACUAAAAUCAUUCCUUUGAUAUGCACCUCGGCUCUCUGGGGCCAGUAACCUAUGCUUUCUCAUCCUGAGUCUCCUCAGGGUGCAUCAUUGGGGGUGACUGCAGAGGCUGCUGGCUUGAUGGCAGGCAUCCUGUUUCCAUUCUGAGUUUCCUCAGGGCUCAUGGUCAGGGUGGCUGUAAUGUGAUGGCUUGAUGGCUGCAACAUCCUUUGUUUACUGAUAUGGCAGACAACACUUCUUUCAUUGACACCUCCAAACUAAUCCCUGUUUUACCUUUCAAGUCCCGCCAUGUGGACUUUCUUAUAAUACUUAGUCUUGAGUUAGUCUCUGGAAUGCUCCAUUAUGUAGAAGACUUACUAUGCAUGGUCACCAACAAUGGACUUCUCUCCAAAGUUAUACACAAGAAUAUAUAUAUAUAUGUAUUUGUCUUGAAUCUUCUACCUCUUGCUAUAUUUGAUACCUAAAGCCUUUCUGAGCUCAGAUUCCAGGACAGGAUAUUGCCUUUCUCUCACCUGAAACUUUCUAAAGUCUAAAACUGAGAUAAUCAUCAUCAUUUCUAAAAGGUCCCCUUUUGCUUCUGUUAUUCAUACCAUCAUUUACAAGUGUUCAGAUUUGCAAUUUUGGGGUUGUUUUGAAUUCUUGUCUACGUAAAGUCACCAAGUCUGGCUUACUGCUUACUGUAUAGAGCUCUCCUAAUUUUCGGUUGUUACUGACUGUCAUAUUGUAAAACUUCUUCAGGGCAAAACCCUUCAACUUGUUGUUCUGUUGUAUAGCAUUCUUAAAUUUUAGCACAUCUUGCAUACACCAUCUUGAAUGGGGUGUGUGAUCAUCACAAAAUCCCUUAGUCAUUACAGGCAUACCUUGUUUUACUGCACUUUGCUUUAUUGCACUUCACAGAUAAUUGCAUUUUUACAAAUUGAAGGUUUGUGGCAACCCUGUGUCGAGCAAGCCUAUUGGUACCAUUUUUUGAACAGCAUUUUCUCGCUUUGUGUCUCUGUGUCACAUUUUGGUAAUUUUAGCAAAAAUUCAAACUUUUUCAUCAUUAUGAUAUUCGUUAUGGUGAUCUGUGAUCAUUGAUCUUUGCUGUUACUAUUGUAAUUGUUUUGGGGCUCCAUGAACCGUGCCCAUGUGAGAGGGCGGACUUCAUCGAUUGUCAAAAUGACAACAAAGGAUUUAGAAUAUUACAUAAACUUAGUUGAUAAAGCAAAGGCUGCAUUUGAGAGUAUUGACCCCAACUUUGAAAGAAGUUCUACUGUGGGUAAAAUGCUAUCAAACAGUGUUGCAUGCUACAGAGAAAUCAUUCCUAAAAGGAAGAGCCAAUCAAUGAGGCAAACGUCAUUAUUGUCUUAUUUUAAGAAAUCGCCACAGGCCACCCCAAUCUUCAGCAACUACCACCAUGAUCAGUCAGCAGCAUGAACACUGAGGCAAGACCCUCCACCAGCCAAAAGACUGUGACUUGCGGAAGGCUCAGAUGAUGCUUAGCAUUGUUUAAUAAUAAAGUAUUUUUAAAUUAA